UACGAAGGGGGCUAGCGUUGUUCGGAAUUACUGGGCGUAAAGCGUACGUAGGUGGCCACUUAAGUCAGACGUGAAAUCCCUCAGCUUAACUGGGGAACUGCGUCUGAUACUGAGUGGCUUGAGUGCAGGAGAGGAAUGCGGAAUUCCAGGUGUAGCGGUGAAAUGCGUAGAUAUCUGGAGGAACACCGGUGGCGAAGGCGGCAUUCUGGACUGUAACUGACACUGAGGAACGAAAGCCAGGGGAGCAAACGGG
rnacentral:rRNA from 1 species